CGUGCUUAACACAUGCAAGUCGAGCGAAGCAGUUAAGUUGAUUUCUUCGGAUUGAUUCUUAACUGACUGAGCGGCGGACGGGUGAGUAACGCGUGGGUGACCUGCCCCAUACCGGGGGAUAACAGCUAGAAACGGCUGCUAAUACCGCAUAAGCGCACAGAGCUGCAUGGCUCGGUGUGAAAAACUCCGGUGGUAUGGGAUGGGCCCGCGUCUGAUUAGGCAGUUGGCGGGGUAACGGCCCACCAAACCGACGAUCAGUAGCCGGCCUGAGAGGGCGACCGGCCACAUUGGGACUGAGACACGGCCCAAACUCCUACGGGAGGCAGCAGUGGGGAAUAUUGCACAAUGGGGGAAACCCUGAUGCAGCGACGCCGCGUGAGCGAAGAAGUAUUUCGGUAUGUAAAGCUCUAUCAGCAGGGAAGAUAAUGACGGUACCUGACUAAGAAGCCCCGGCUAACUACGUGCCAGCAGCCGCGGUAAUACGUAGGGGGCAAGCGUUAUCCGGAUUUACUGGGUGUAAAGGGAGCGUAGACGGCAAGGCAAGUCUGGUGUGAAAACCCAGGGCUUAACCCUGGGACUGCAUUGGAAACUGUCUGGCUCGAGUGCCGGAGAGGUAAGCGGAAUUCCUAGUGUAGCGGUGAAAUGCGUAGAUAUUAGGAAGAACACCAGUGGCGAAGGCGGCUUACUGGACGGU
rnacentral:rRNA from 1 species